rnacentral:tRNA from 1 species
CCCCAGUUGGCGCAAUGGAUAGCGCGUCGGACUUCUAAUCGCCGGAGUUGAGGGUUCGAGUCCCUCCUGGGGU